UACGUAGGGUGCAAGCGUUGUCCGGAAUUAUUGGGCGUAAAGAGCUCGUAGGCGGUUUGGUAAGUCAGGUGUGAAAUCUCCACGCUCAACGUGGAGGGGCCACCUGAUACUGCCAUGACUGGGGUCCGGUAGAGGAGUGUGGAAUUCCCGGUGUAGCGGUGAAAUGCGCAGAUAUCGGGAGGAACACCCGUAGCGAAGGCGGCACUCUGGGCCGGUACUGACGCUGAGGAGCGAAAGCGUGGGGAGCGAACAGG
rnacentral:rRNA from 1 species